UACGAAGGGGGCUAGCGUUGCUCGGAAUUACUGGGCGUAAAGGGCGCGUAGGCGGACAGUUUAGUCAGAGGUGAAAGCCCAGGGCUCAACCUUGGAACUGCCUUUGAUACUGACUGUCUUGAGUUCGGGAGAGGUGAGUGGAAUGCCGAGUGUAGAGGUGAAAUUCGUAGAUAUUCGGCGGAACACCAGUGGCGAAGGCGACUCACUGGCCCGAUACUGACGCUGAGGCGCGAAAGCGUGGGGAGCAAACAGGG
rnacentral:rRNA from 1 species